GUGUAGUUCGUGGUGCGUUGAAGUGUUCAAUCUAAAGAGGUGGGAGGUUGACUCUCUGGGUCAGUUCUGGAAAAAUUUCUAAAUUGGAGCGAUGGCAGUUUUAGAGACUGCUUCUAUAAAAGGAAGUGUAAUUCGAUGUGACUGCUUGGUUCUGAGCGCUGCAAUACUGAAGAGGUUUGGUAACUAUUCCAGGAACUUCAAUAAUUCUGACCAUGAAGGAUCAUUCUUCAAAAUUUCUACUGCUUGGAAUUUGUGACUACUUAUAAGGGCUCGUGUGCCUCGUGCUGACGGAGAUUUGGUUGGAAUCUUGCAACUGAUCUACUUCCAAUAAGUUAAUCUAGAAUUUCACUGCUAUAUAUUGUCUCUGAUGAUAAUUUUUUAAUGUAACAUUUGGAAAUUUUAGUUCUACUCGCACUGAAUGUUGCAACUAUAGUUACAAAUUACUGUACCAAAAUUUUUUCUUUAAACUUUUUUUUUUUUUAUAAUAAACCAGUAUUACUCGUAUUGUUUUGCAUCGUUUAAGUGUGUAGUAUUUUAAGUGUUUUACAAAUUAUUUUAACUUUUAUUUUAUAUUAAACCAGUAUUACUCGUAUUGCUUGGCAUCUUUUAAGUGUAGUAUUUUCAGUGAUUUACAAAUUAUUUUUAAAAAUAAAUUUGAGUAUCUUGGUUCUCAUAAUUUAUUUCUUGGCAUACUGUAAGUAUCUUAUUUACUAAUGUUUUUAAAUAUAGGUACUUUGAAAAUCGGAAUUUGCCAAAUCUGGGGUGCAAAAUACUGUAUUUAUGCACUUUGAAAACCACAGAAUUUGUCAAAACUGGCGUGCAAAAUGCUGUUUUAAACUUAUAAUUUUCUCUAUAGUAAAAUUAAAGUUAAGGAGUAUGCAUUUAUGUAAUAUUUUCUGGUUCUGACUGAAAAUUUUCACAAAUUUCACUGAAGAUUGUCACAAAUCUUCCAGUUUAUUCACUUUUUUUUUUAUGUACAGAUUUUUAUAAAUUGAUAACUCAAUACUUUGUAAUCGGUCGUUCAGUAGUGUUAUUUUAAUGACCCUUCUUUCACUUCCUGAGGAUUUAAUAAAAUUGAUAGUUUUA